rnacentral:rRNA from 1 species
CGAGUCGAGAGAUUUCGGAUCUCGGCAGACGUCUCAGUAACACGCGGAUAAUCUGCCCUUGAGUGGAGGAUAAUCUCGGAAACCUGAGCAUAAUACCCCAUAGGCCUAGGAUGCUGGAAUGCUUCUAGGCUCAAAGCUCCGGCGCCCAAGGAUGAGUCUGCGACCUAUCAGGCUGUAGUGGGUGUAAAGGACCCACUAACCUUCGACGGGUACGGGCCUUGAGAGAGGUUGCCCGGAGUUGGACUCUGAGACACGAGUCCAGGCCCUACGGGGUGCAGCAGGCGCGAAAACUUCACAAUGUGGGAAACCGCGAUGAGGGGAUUCCAAGUGCUAACACUUUGUGUUAGCUGUUCACCUGCCUAAAAAGCUGGUGAAGUAAGGGCCGGGUAAGACGGGUGCCAGCCGCCGCGGUAAUACCUGCGGCCCGAGUGGUGGUCGUUAUUAUUGAGCCUAAAGCGUCCGUAGCCGGUUCAGUAAAUCUCUGGGUAAAUCGGACAGCUCAACUGCCCGAAUUCCGGAAAGACUGCUGAACUUGGGACCGGGGGAGGUUGGAGGUACUCCUGGGGUAGGGGUGAAAUCCUGUAAUCCUAGGGGGACCACCAGUGGCGAAGGCGUCCAACCAAAACGGCUCCGACGGUAAGGGACGAAGCCCUGGGGCGCAAACGGGAUUAGAUACCCCGGUAGUCCAGGGUGUAAACGCUGCAGGCUUGGUGUUGGGGGUCCUACGAGGGCGCCCAGUGCCGGAGAGAAGUUGUUAAGCCUGCCGCUUGGGGAGUACGUCCGCAAGGAUGAAACUUAAAGGAAUUGGCGGG